rnacentral:rRNA from 1 species
UACGGGGGGGGGCAGCUUGUUCGGAAUCACUGGGCGUAAAGGGCGCGUAGGCGGCCAUUCAAGUCAGAGGUGAAAGCCCAAGGCUCAACCUUGGAACUGCCUUUGAUACUGUUUGGCUUGAGACCGGUAGAGGUAAGUGGAACUGCGAGUGUAGAGGUGAAAUUCGUAGAUAUUCGCAAGAACACCAGUGGCGAAGGCGGCUCACUGGCCCGAUACUGACGCUGAGGUGCGAAAGCGUGGGGAGCAAACAGG